UACGAAGGGUGCAAGCGUUAAUCGGAAUUACUGGGCGUAAAGCGUGCGCAGGCGGUUUUGUAAGUCAGAUGUGAAAUCCCCGGGCUUAACCUGGGAACUGCGUUUGAAACUACAAGGCUAGAGUGUGGCAGAGGGGGGUGGAAUUCCACGUGUAGCAGGUGAAAUGCGUAGAGAUGUGGAGGAACACCGAUGGCGAAGGCACCCCCUGGGUUAACACUGACGCUCAGGCACGAAAGCGUGGG
rnacentral:rRNA from 1 species